rnacentral:rRNA from 1 species
UACGGAGGGGGCUAGCGUUGUUCGGAAUUACUGGGCGUAAAGCGCACGUAGGCGGCUUUGUAAGUUAGAGGUGAAAGCCCAGGGCUCAACCCUGGAAUUGCCUUUAAGACUGCAUCGCUUGAAUUGUGGAGAGGUAAGUGGAAUUCCGAGUGUAGAGGUGAAAUGCGUAGAUAUUCGGAAGAACACCAGUGGCGAAGGCGACUUACUGGACACAUAUUGACGCUGAGGUGCGAAAGCGUGGGGAGCAAACAGG